rnacentral:rRNA from 1 species
UACAGAGGUCCCAAGCGUUGUUCGGAUUCACUGGGCGUAAAGGGUGCGUAGGUGGUGAGUUAAGUCUGAUGUGAAAUCCCCGGGCUCAACCUGGGAAUGGCAUUGGAUACUGGCUCGCUAGAGUGCGGUAGAGGGUGGUGGAAUUCCCGGUGUAGCAGUGAAAUGCGUAGAGAUCGGGAGGAACAUCUGUGGCGAAGGCGGCCACCUGGACCAACACUGACACUGAGGCACGAAAGCGUGGGGAGCAAACAGG